rnacentral:rRNA from 1 species
AAUCAACGCUGGCGGCGUGCCUAACACAUGCAAGUCGAACGCGAAAACCCCGCAAGGGGUUAGUAGAGUGGCAAACGGGUGAGUAACACGUGGGUGACCUGCCUUCGAGUGGGGGAUAACGUCCCGAAAGGGACGCUAAUACCGCAUGACAUCCUGCUUUUGGAAAAGCGGAGAUCAAAGCUGGGGAUUCGCAAGAACCUGGCGCUUGAAGAGGGGCCCGCGCCUGAUUAGCUAGUUGGUAGGGAACGGCCUACCAAGGCGACGAUCAGUAUCCGGCCUGAGAGGGCGGACGGACACACUGGGACUGAGACACGGCCCAGACUCCUACGGGAGGCAGCAGUGGGGAAUUGUUCGCAAUGGGCGAAAGCCUGACGACGCAACGCCGCGUGGAGGACGAAGAUCUCGGGUCGUAAACUCCUGUCGAGUGGGAAGAAUGGUUC